UACGAAGGGGGCUAGCGUUGCUCGGAAUCACUGGGCGUAAAGGGUGCGUAGGCGGGUUUUUAAGUCAGAGGUGAAAGCCUGUGGCUCAACCACAGAAUUGCCUUCGAUACUGUAGAGCUUGAGACCGGAAGAGGUAAGUGGAACUGCGAGUGUAGAGGUGAAAUUCGUAGAUAUUCGCAAGAACACCAGUGGCGAAGGCGGCUUACUGGUCCGGUUCUGACGCUGAGGCGCGAAAGCGUGGGGAGCAAACAGG
rnacentral:rRNA from 1 species